rfam:Tyto alba contig61119, whole genome shotgun sequence.
UCGUGGCUAGCUCACUCGGUAGAGCAUGAGACUCUUAAUCUCAGGGUCGUGGGUUUGACCCCCAUGUUGGGCA